CUAUCCCAGAGGGAAGCCUGCUAGGAUGAGAGAACCUUAUAAAUAGGGGACUGUGAGUCUCACCAUCAGGGGCAGUGGCCAGGGUGGGGGGAAGGGCAUUAGAAAAGCACAGCCAGACAGUAUAUUACGCAUGUGAGGGUUCAAGCAGGAACUUUUCAAAGAACUCAGCCUGCAUCCAGCAUCAGAGACAAUAUUCGGACUGCACCACCAACUGGAUCACAGUAGCACCAAUUAGGCCUCUUGUGGGAGGCGGUCCCAAGGUUGCUGGGUCUCCUUGCCCUUCUAGGGCCUGUGCAACAACACAAGGGAGCAGCAGCAGAGUAUGGUGUGGAAUGACACCGUAUAGAACCUGAAGAAACAGAAGAAUGAAAUAUUGAAGUUCUAUGCUGAAAGUGAUGAGCAGAAGUCAAUGAAAAAUAGAGACAUCCUACCUAAAGGUAAAAAUGAAGAUCUUGGUCAUGCAUUGAAAGAGUUGAUCCAUCAGCAUCAGAGUGAACACAUACCACUUAAUGGUAUGCUGAUCACAAAACAAGCAAAGAUCUAUCACAAGGAACUGAAAAUUGAAGGGAACUGUGGAUAUUCAACAGGCUGGUUACCGAAAUGUAAAAAAAGACAUGGCAUUAAAUUUUUAAAGAUUCGUGAUGAUAAAGCAUCUGCUGAUCACUAAUCAGCAGAGAAAUUUAUUGAUGAUUUUGUCAAGGUCAUUGAUGAUGAAAAUCUGAUACCAGAACAAGUCUAUAAUACUGAUGAGACUUCACUGUUUUGGCAUUGUUAGCCCAAAUAGACACUUACUACAGCUGGUGAGACAGCCCCUAUAGGAAUUAAGGAUGCCAAGGACAGAUUAACUGUGCUGGGAUGUGCUAAUGCAGCAGGCAUGCAUAAGUGUAAAUUUGCUGUGAUAGGCAAAAGUUUGUGUCCUUGCUGCUUUAAAGGAAUACAUUUUUUUACCAAUCUAUUAUUAUGCUAAUAAAAAGGCAUGGAUCACCAGGGACAUCUUUUCUGAUUGGUUUCAUGAACGUUUUGUCCCAGUGGCUUGUAUUCAGUACAGAGAAGCUGGACUGAAUGACAACAGCAAGAUUUGUUAUUUCCUGACAACUGUUCUGCUUAUCCUCCAGCUGAUAUUCUUAUCACAAAUAUUUAUGCCAUAUACUUUCCCCAAAUGUGAUCUCAUUAAUUCAGCCAUGUGAUCAGGGUAUCCUUGCAUCUAUGUCAAGAGUAAAUAUAAUUAUUGGAAGAAUCAGUAAGUGGGGUAGAAAAUAAAAAUUAAAAGAAGUAAAAAAGACAAAAAUAAUAUUUAAAAAAUUAAUAAAAAAAGAGUAAAUAUAAUAACACUUUCUCAAAUGGCAUGCUAGCAGCUGUGAACAGAGGUGUGUGUGUGUGUGUGGAAAGUUUUCAAAAGAGUUUAGGGUGUAGGAUGACAUUGUUGCCAACAUUUGGAACACAGUGACUAAAGACUCAGUUAUGCAUACCUGGAACAACUUCUGGCCUGUGACUAUGUUCAUUGAAAAUGAUGAGCAAGGUGGUGACUUUGAAAAAUUCCAUAUGUUAAGUGAGAAAAGAAAUGAUGCAUGACCUCCUUACAUAUGCAAAAAGUAUAUCUUCAGAGUCUGUUAGUAAGCUGGAAAAAAGAGGAUAUUGAAGUUUUUAACAUCUAUAAUGAGGCUCCAGUUGUUUGUUCAUGACUGAUGGUGAAAUAGCCAAAAUAGUUCUGAAUCAAGGUAUUUGGGAUAAUAGUGUCAAUGAAGAUGACGUUGUUAACACUACAGAAAAAGUGCCUACAGUUGACAUGGUGAACAUAUGUGAUGAGCUUAUUGAAGAACUAGAAUAGUGGCAUUCGUGACAGAACAAGAAAUUAUUAUCAGUUUGUAAAAUCGAAAAGAGACUUCUAAGACAAAAAUGGUUGUUUACAGUACAGAUGACUCUGGAGAAAACAUUUAGAAAAGCUAUCCAGCAGAAUGCCCUCCAUGCCUAGAACACCCACUUUCUGGUCCCUCCACUGAUUCUGAUGUUUAUUCUCACCUAAAAAAAUAAAGUACAGUGCGCAGUAAUGUUACAGUCACAACACAACAUCGUAGGCAGAGACCGAAAGCCUGCCUUUCUUUGUUCUUGCUGUUGUCUAAAAGCUGAUGCAGGUGAUGCUAUAUUCUGGCAAUGCUCCUGGGCUGCGUAGUUACCCUGAAUACAUUAUUUUUUCACUGUAUUAAUGGUAUGUCAUAUUUUUUACUGUUAAGUACUUAUGUGU